rnacentral:rRNA from 1 species
UACGUAGGGGGCUAGCGUUGUCCGGAUUUAUUGGGCGUAAAGAGCGUGUAGGCGGCCAGGUAGGUCUGCUGUGAAAACUCGAGGCUCAACCUCGAGACGUCGGCGGAAACCAUCUGGCUAGAGUCCGGAAGAGGAGAGUGGAAUUCCUGGUGUAGCGGUGAAAUGCGCAGAUAUCAGGAAGAACAGCCCGUGGCGAAGGCGGCUCUCUGGGACGGUACUGACGCUGAGACGCGAAAGCGUGGGGAGCGAACAGG